CACAUUUUAGAUAAUGGGGGAAACCUUGUGGAUGCGGCUAAUAUUGCUGCUUUGGCUGCUUUGUCAACUUUUCGAAGACCCGAGUGUUCAUUGGGGGGAGAUGAUGGUCAGGAAGUGAUAGUUCAUCCCCCUGAGGUUAGGGAGCCACUUCCGUUGAUCAUACAUCAUCUCCCUGUUGCAGUAACCUUUGCAUUUUUCCGUAGUG
rnacentral:misc_RNA from 1 species